rnacentral:tRNA from 1 species
CGGCAUGUAGUUCAGUGGUGAGAGCGACGUCCUUAUAAGACGUGAGUCGAAGGUUCGACUCCUUCCAUGCCGAC